rnacentral:rRNA from 1 species
AGUAAUGUCUGGGAAACUGCCUGAUGGAGGGGGAUAACUACUGGAAACGGUAGCUAAUACCGCAUAACGUCGCAAGACCAAAGAGGGGGACCUUCGGGCCUCUUGCCAUCAGAUGUGCCCAGAUGGGAUUAGCUAGUAGGUGGGGUAAUGGCUCACCUAGGCGACGAUCCCUAGCUGGUCUGAGAGGAUGACCAGCCACACUGGAACUGAGACACGGUCCAG